rnacentral:rRNA from 1 species
UCUGGUAAUGAUGGCAGAGAGGUCACACCCGUUCCCAUACCGAACACGGAAGUUAAGCUCUCUAGCGCCGAUGAUAGUUGGGACCUUGUCCCUGUGAGAGUAGGACGUUGCCAGGC